UCUUGGUCAUUUUGAGGAAGUAAAAGUCGUAACAAGGUUUCCGUAGGUGAACCUGCGGAAGGAUCAUUUCAGUAUUCUACUACCAGCGCUUGAUUGCGCGGUGGUAAACCUUUCACACUUUGUUUUUUUUUUUUUAGACACCAUUGCUUUGGUGAUGGGGGGUAAAAUCCACAUCGCCAGAGGUUUUUUCAAAAACACUUUUUUUUUUAGGUAACUUUUUUUAUUGUCAAUAAAUAAUUUGUCUGAUUUUUUUCAGGUAAUACAAAUAUUUUUAACUUUCAACAACGGAUCUCUUGGUUCUCGCAUCGAUGAAGAACGCAGCGAAUUGCGAUAAGUAUUGUGAAUUGCAGAAUUUCGUGAAUCAUCGAAUCUUUGAACGCACAUUGCACCCUGUGGUAUUCCACAGGGUAUGCCUGUUUGAGCGUCAUUUCUCUCUCAAAACUCUAAGUUUUGGUGUUGAGUGAUACUCGGGUUUUUUGCUUGAGUUUGCUUGAAAAGUAUUGGCAAGGGAAGUAAUUCUUGUGAGAGCUAUUUUUUCAAUGUAUUUGGUUUUUCCAACUCGUUGAUUGAUAGAAGGAGCAGUAGUUGCUAAUAGGCCCGGCCUUUCAACAAACAAACCAAAGUUUGACCUCAAAUCAGGUAGGAUUUCCCGCUGAACUUUUGCAUAUCAAUAAGCGGAGGAA
rnacentral:rRNA from 1 species